UACGUAGGUGGCAAGCGUUGUCCGGAUUUAUUGGGCGUAAAGCGCGUGUAGGCGGCCAGGUAGGUCGGUUGUGAAAACUGGAGGCUCAACCUUCAGAGGUCGACCGAAACCAUCUGGCUAGAGUCCGGGAGAGGAGAGUGGAAUUCCUGGUGUAGCGGUGAAAUGCGCAGAUAUCAGGAAGAACACCCGUGGCGAAAGCGGCUCUCUGGAACGGUACUGACGCUGAGACGCGAAAGCGUGGGGAGCGAACAGG
rnacentral:rRNA from 1 species